rnacentral:rRNA from 1 species
UACGGGGGGAGCAAGCGUUGUUCGGAUUUACUGGGCGUAAAGGGCGCGUAGGCGGCCAACUAAGUCAGACGUGAAAUCCCUCGGCUUAACCGGGGAACUGCAUCUGAUACUGGAUGGCUUGAGUUCGGGAGAGGGACGCGGAAUUCCAGGUGUAGCGGUGAAAUGCGUGGAUAUCUGGAGGAACACCGGUGGCGAAGGCGGCAUCCUGGACCGACACUGACGCUGAGGAGCGAAAGCCAGGGGAGCAAACGGG